GGUCAAGCGAUGAAGCGCACACGGUGGAUGCCUUGGCAGUCAGAGGCGAUGAAAGACGUGGAAGCCUGCGAUAAGGUUCGGCGAGGUGGCAAACGACCUGCGACCCGGACAUCUCUGAAUGGGGAAACCCACCCAAGAUCACUUGGGUAUCUCAUGCUGAAUAUAUAGGCAUGAGAGGCGAACCGGGGGAACUGAAACAUCUAAGUACCCCGAGGAAAAGAAAUCAACCGAGAUUCCCCUAGUAGCGGCGAGCGAACGGGGACCAGCCCUUAAGCAACACAACUGGUAGGUGAACAGAUUGGGAAAUCUGGCCAUAGUGGGUGAUAGCCCCGUAACCGAAACCUGAGUGUUGUGAAAUCGAGUAGGUCGAGGCACGUGAAACCUUGACUGAAGACGGGGGGACCAUCCUCCAAGGCUAAAUACUCCUGACUGACCGAUAGUGAACCAGUACCGUGAGGGAAAGGCGAAAAGAACCCCGGAGAGGGGAGUGAAAUAGACCCUGAAACCGUGUGCGUACAAGCAGUGGGAGCCGACUUGUUCGGUGACCGCGUACCUUUUGUAUAAUGGGUCAGCGACUUAUUUUCAGUGGCGAGCUUAACCGUAUAGGGGAGGCGUAGAGAAAUCGAGUCUUAACUGGGCGACCAGUCGCUGGAAAUAGACCCGAAACCGGGCGAUCUAUCCAUGAGCAGGUUGAAGGUUGAGUAACAUCAACUGGAGGACCGAACCAGGAUCUGUUGAAAAAGAUUUGGAUGACUUGUGGAUCGGAGUGAAAGGCUAAUCAAGCCCGGAGAUAGCUGGUUCUCCUCGAAAGCUAUUUAGGUAGCGCCUCACGUAUCACCGCCGGGGGUAGAGCACUGUUUCGGCUAGGGGGUCAUCCCGACUUACCAACCCGAGGCAAACUCCGAAUACCGGUGAGUGCAGCGUGGGAGACACACGGCGGGUGCUAACGUCCGUCGUGAAAAGGGAAACAACCCAGACCGUCAGCUAAGGUCCCGAAAUCCUGGUUAAGUGGGAAACGAUGUGGGAAGGCUUAGACAGCUAGGAGGUUGGCUUAGAAGCAGCCAUCCUUUAAAGAAAGCGUAAUAGCUCACUAGUCGAGUCGGCCUGCGCGGAAGAUGUAACGGGGCUCAAACCAGGUACCGAAGCUACGGGUUGCC
rnacentral:rRNA from 1 species